rnacentral:sRNA from 1 species
CCAGCUAUGGAUAGGAUAUAUUAAGGAUACCCAAUACUACUCUUCCCUUUCAAAACUGUUUCUUGCUCGCCUUCCCGAAGCUUGUCGAUUGUUACACGCAUGGUGAGCUAGGGACAUAUAGGAACGGCCAUAUCUUCUGAUCUUUGCUUGCUUGCAACAAAAGCGGACAGAAUAUAUUAUGCCUCCAGCUUACUACGAAACCCAGGAAGACUUGCAAUUCUGUCGGAAUUCUGCACGGGGAAUGAGCUACCCAGUUUCCCAGCCACUGCGAGGAGAUGCUCAACAACCCGCGGGUGGAUAUAGUAAUCGAAUAUGCACGACAACAG